rnacentral:lncRNA from 1 species
UUAGUUGGUAAGUUUACCAACCAAUUCAAUAUGGUUGGUAAAAUUUACCAUCGAGCCUUUUAGCAACAGGCCAAUUUCCGUUGGUAAUCGGUUAGUAAAUCAAAAUACCAACCAAUUUGAUCAAUUUAUCAAUAUUUUUUUUUGUUGGUAAUUGAUUUUUUUUUGUAGUGAAAAAAAAUGUUUGGUUGAUCAAAAUAUGAUACGAGUUGCCUAAGGUCCUAUUAAACCCAUGCCAACCUCAAAAGGCAAGCAACUGGCAGAAUCCCAAGCUAUCGUUCACAUGGAGAUAUGUUGAUUGUCUAGUGCCUUUAACAAAACAUAGCAAACUUGUAAAUUGGCCGAAGUGAACAACUAAAUUUCCAACAAAAUAAAAGUGAAACAAACACUACUUAAAACUGAUGAAACCUUGACAGAUGCAUCAAGAUUGCUAACUCUAAAACAUGGAAUGGAAGUAUAUUAUUGGAUGAAGCUAAAUGCUAGUCAACAUGCAUAUCAACAAAAUCAUUUUGAACGUAAAGACAAAAGUGGUAUAUAAGAUGAAAAUACAUUAGUUUUCAAACCCUCUAAUAAGUAUGACUUAAAAGAGUUGUCUGGGUAACAACCCUGCAACGGAAGCAAAACAGUUUGCCAGUAGGUGCUUGAGGUGCGAGGUCUUAAGUGAAAUUCACAUUGAAACAAAAGAAAACCAACAAUAGGCUAAACAUUUUUGCCAAGUUAACAUAUCAAAUACUAUAUUUUAAUUAGAUAGAACAGUAAUACUCCAAUAAAUUUACCAUAAUACUUUAAGCACUUAAAAGGUCUAAACACAAAGAUGUAAAAGGAAAACUACUCAAAAUAGUUCUUAUAACCUCGAGUAGACUGAUUUCUAUUAACACCCAAUUAAAAGCUAAAUAAACUUUUAAUUUCUCAAUCCCCUUCAGUAAUAUUCCACCAGAUUUACCAUAAUAUUUUAAGCACUUAAAAGGUCUAAACACAAAGAUGUAAAGGAAAAUUACUCAAAAUAGUUCUCAUAACCUCGGGUAAAAGCUAAAUAAACUAUCAAUUUUCCAAUCCGCUUUAAUUAUGGCUCAAAUCAUAUUUGGAUCCAACCAAGACAAAAGUAAGAAGAGAUGGAACAUACUUGAAAUAUGCCCUUGAUUAAUAAAAUUGUGGCAGUUACAAGGAAGUUAAUAAAUUGCAACUGGAAUCGAACUUGAAGAAACAACGAAAAUUGAUUGAAACCACUAAUCGAACCCCGAACAAAAACUCGAAUCGGCACCAGAUUUUCGAAUCAGAGCUCUAACUACAAUUAAAUUUUGUCUUUGGAAAUGAAAAUUGAAAUCGGAAAAAACAAGAAACACAUAUUAUUUUUGCAUUUUUCUGAGAUUCAAACUAAACAAAGAUCUAAAAAAUAAAAUCUGAAAAUCAAAGGGCUAAACUAAAUUUGUUUUUAUUUUGUAUUUUUCUGGUUCCCAAGAAGAACAAAUAAAAAAAAAUUGGUGAUUCUUUUCCAAACCCUAAUUAUUUGUCCCUCUCCUGAUCUCUGUCCAAAUGCUCCAAAUAUAUAGGAAGCCUACAAGUUUAUCCUUCCUUCCUUUCCAAGAAAACCGAAAAGUCUCCUCUUCUUUUUUUAAAUCUGGAAAAUCCGAAAAAAACUCCAAAAAAAUCCGAAAUUCUUUGACAUAGAAAAAUAGUAGACAAGUCGAGGUCUAGGAUCAAAGAAUCUUAAUCCUGUGGCCUCUAAUUUCCAAAAUUCGUCUAAAAGAAUUUGGAUUUGUGAUUAAUAGGGGAAAAAUAAUAAUGAAGAGUAGUUGUGUUGGAUGAGAUAAGGUCAUUGAACCUAGGAUGAAUACUAUCGGAUUCGAUUUAAGCAUGUUGGAAGGAUAAUAAAG